GUCCGAGAUAUAACAAAUGAGUAUCGUUCAGUAACCAGUAUAGUGCCUGACGACGAGAACAGUUCUUCGUCUGCUAACGUUAAAGGAUCUGUCUGUCACAUUUUUCGUCGUGCUAAUGGCAGCAUUUGUCAUUUUUUUCAUCUUUGAAUCCAAAGCUCUAAAUGAUGAAAAAUUGGCGUCGUUCUUUGCCAGGAUGUUCAAAUGAAACCUCAUAUAUAAGAUCGUCUUUGAAAUGUUUGAAUAACCCGCAGUAACAAUGUUACAUAAACUGUUCGCUGGGUAUGACGGUUAUGGCUUGCCACUUCUCCUAUAGCUUCCAAAAACAAAUCUUGUUAACCAAUAGUCCAGAAAGCAAGAAAUCUUGUGUCGCAUUAAUCGCUACAAGUUGCUUCGCUGCGACAGCCCCGUCCAUGCUUUCGAAAAACGCCUAUGCCAAUUACUGACAUAUUAAUGAACCCUAAAACCGAACAAUCAAACGCUGAAAACCAAACAAAGACCAAACAUUGUAGUUAAAAUCCCUUCGGCAAAAUAAACUAAUGCCCGAUCGAAAAAACCUACUUCAUCAUAAUUAAAAAGGAACAAUACUAAUUAUUUGUUAACAAUACACCUAAUUAAAACAGACAUUCCUCGUGGGGGUGAUCAUGUUCUAAGUCGGAUAGACAAUGAUCACUUGUGUUCAG